UUUCUCCACAAUUUGGUGAAAAACUAUGCGGAGAUGUUGCACUCGCACAAAAACUUCUGCUAUAUGCCUUUCUUUUCAUUUCAUUUUUUCUGAAAAGAAUAAAUUUUAGCUACAAAUGUGAUAUCCCAACACACACACAAAAAAAAAAAAAGAGGAGGAAAGAGCCAGAGACUCCCAAAGGGAGUCGUCUUUCUCCUCUGAAUUGGACCUAGUUUGAGUGCCUAAACAACUCUGUUAAGGGG
rnacentral:lncRNA from 1 species